rnacentral:rRNA from 1 species
GACGAACGCUGGCGGCGUGCUCAACACAUGCAAGUCGAACGGAAAGGCCCUGCAUUUGUGGGGUGCUCAAGUGGCGAACGGGUGAGUAACACGUGAGUAACCUGCCCUUGACUUUGGGAUAACUUCAGGAAACUGGGGCUAAUACCGGAUAGGAGCUCCUGCUGCAUGGUGGGGGUUGGAAAGUUUCGGCGGUUGGGGAUGGACUCGCGGCUUAUCAGCUUGUUGGUGGGGUAGUGGCUUACCAAGGCUUUGUCGGGCAGCCGGCCUGAGAGGGUGACCGGCCACAUUGGGAAUGAGAUACGGCCCAGACUCCUACGGGAGGCAGCAGUGGGGAAUAUUGCACAAUGGGCGGAAGCCUGAUGCAGCAACGCCGCGUGCGGGAUGACGGCCUUCGGGUUGUAGGCCGCUUUCGCCUGUGACGAAGCGUGAGUGACGGUAAUGGGUAGAGAAGCACCGGCUAACUACGUG